AUGGAUGUGAGUAGAUAUUCUGCUGGGGUGGGGCUGGGUUGGUGCCCUCGGAUCCACUUGCGGGGACGCGUCAGACGGGGACCCAGGCCCUUACGGGGACGCGUGAGACGGGGACCCAAGCCCUUACGGGGACGCGUCAGACGGGGAUCCAGGCACUUUCGGGGACGCGUCAGACGGGGACCCAGACCCUUACGGGGAUGCGUCAGACGGAGACCCAGGCCCUUACGGGGACGCGUCAGACGGGAACCCAGUCCCUUACGGGGACGCGUCAGACGGGGACCCAGGCCCUUACGGGGACGCAUCAGACGGGGACCCAGGCACUUAGGGGGACGCGUCGGACGGGGACCCAGGCAAUUGCGGGGACGUGUCAGACGGGGACCCAGGCACUUGCGGGGACGUGUCAGAUGGGGCCCCAUCCACUUGCGGGGACGCGUCAGACGGGGACCCAGGCCCUUACGGGGACGCGUCAGACGGGGACCCAUCCACUUGCGGGGACGCGUCAGACGGGGACCCAGGCCCUUACGGGGACGCGUCAGACAGGGACCCAGGCACUUGCGGGGACACGUCAGACCAGGACCCAGGCACUUACGG
rnacentral:lncRNA from 1 species